rnacentral:rRNA from 1 species
GACGAACGCUGGCAGCGUGCCUAAUACAUGCAAGUUGAGCGCUGAAGGUUGGUACUUGUACCAACUGGAUGAGCAGCGAACGGGUGAGUAACGCGUGGGGAAUCUGCCUUUGAGCGGGGGACAACAUUUGGAAGCGAAUGCUAAUACCGCAUAAAAACUUUAAACACAAGUUUUAAGUUUGAAAGAUGCAAUUGCAUCACUCAAAGAUGAUCCCGCGUUGUAUUAGCUAGUUGGUGAGGUAAAGGCUCACCAAGGCGAUGAUACAUAGCCGACCUGAGAGGGUGAUCGGCCACAUUGGGACUGAGACACGGCCCAAACUCCUACGGGAGGCAGCAGUAGGGAAUCUUCGGCAAUGGACGAAAGUCUGACCGAGCAACGCCGCGUGAGUGAAGAAGGUUUUCGGAUCGUAAAACUCUGUUGGUAGAGAAGAACGUUGGUGAGAGUGGAAAGCUCAUCAAGUGACGGUAACUACCCAGAAAGGGACGGCUAACUACGUG